rnacentral:rRNA from 1 species
CAGGUCAGUAUGCCCCGAAUCUCCCGGGCCACACGCGAGCUGCAAUGGCAGGUACAAUGGGUUCCGACCUCGAAAGGGGGAGGCAAUCCCGAAAGCCUGCCGUAGUUGGGAUCGAGGGUUGCAACCCACCCUCGUGAACAUGGAAUCCCUAGUAAUCGCGUGUCACUAGCGCGCGGUGAAUACGUCCCUGCUCCUUGCACACACCGCCCGUCGUUCCACCCGAGCGAUUCUUGGGUGAGGCGCGGUCUCUAUUGGCUGCGUCGAAUCUGAGUUUCGUAAGGGGGGAAAAGUCGUAACAAGGUGGCCGUAGGGGAACCUGCGGCCGGAUCACCUCCUA